AUGAUGCAUCACAGUACUGUUUCCACCAGACCCAAGCUCAAAAUUGAAAUCGGGUCCGCGACUUGCACGCUGGACUAAGCGCGCCAUCAUCUGUUGCCUGGGUUUACGACAAUAAAUAGUCUCAUGGAAGGCCCUCGGCAUCUCCUUUUCUUCCACGGUCUACUUUCAACAAAGGAGUCGCAAAAAUGUGACGUCUCUCUGUAGUCUUUUACCCCUUCUGGAGAAAUUGCAAAAUAACGUUAUAAGUUAUCCAUGCUGACAUCUUAAAGACCUUCAGUGUCUGCUGACUGUCUUGGCUGCUUUGAAGUGGAUGAGCACCGUUAUCCAAGACUGGUUGGGGUGCUCAGUAUCGGUGGUGAGCACUGAGCCUUAUCUGUGGCCACCACAUGGGGGCGCCUUUUUCGUUUCAAUGGAGAGAUCCCACCCACGCCACAUCUUCGUCUCAGACUGAACCUAAGCCACAAUACACACACUGUGUACCAGGGAGUCCUUGCAACCUUGUUGGACAGAUGUUUGGCCCAUUUCUAUAACACCAAUUGUAAUGCAUAAAGAACAGCGUUUCUGUGCAACAACAAAAUAACAAAUACUAUUGAGGGCUCACUGUGUCUCAGGGAUUUUACCUGUAUACUCUCUAUACAAACACCCUACAAGGUAGGUGACAUUAUAUCCAUUUUAAAGAUGAAACAUUGAAUCUAAGAUUAGGGGAAAACUAGUGAAAUAUGAAUAAAGUGUAGUUUAAAGUUUUAUUCCAAUGUUAAUUUCCUAGUUUUGAUAG